UGUAUGGAGGAACUUGGCAGAGGAAAAACCCUUCAGUUCUCAGCUCCAUGAGUGGGGAGGGCAGAAGUCGUACUUGGUCAACAGGACCCUACAGCUUCCACUACCAUACCUGUAGACCUAGGAUCCCGAGUCUGAAAUGAAGCCCUCUUCUGUAGAUGUGUAGCCUCUCAAGUUUGAGUUCUGUAGAAAAUCCAAUGAACGCCAUCUCUGCACCAUCAGUGGGACAGGACUCUGUUGGGAAAGGAAGAAGCUGAAGUUGACAUCCCUUCUGCCUCUCUACCAGCAAAAGCAGGCUGCAGCUGCAUGGCCUCUUAACCUCAUAACUUUUGGAAGUUCAGCAGUCAUUUGGUAAACAAAGGCAGGAGGAAACCUUGAGCUGCUAUAAACCAGUGCACCUCUGCUGUCAGAAAUGAACCUUGCCAGACUACUCCAUCAAAGGACCUGACCUAAAGUAAUGGGAAUUUGCUACUGGAAUAUAAGUCAAACACUUGAGGACUGUAUUCCUUCUCCUGAAAACUCACAUCCAGUUCGGUGUUCCUCCAGAGAGCAUUUGCAAAGACUGUUUUUUCAUUUAGUUUGAGAUCAGGUAGACAGGAAAAAAAUCAGCAGAGCUGGCAAGAAAAGACAGUACUGAGAGGAAGGGAAAACGCUUCAGCUCUGAGGUUGCCUUCAGCUGGCAGAAAGAAUGGAAGGAGUCUGUUAAGUGAGUGACUGGAGCCAAGGUGUUUUGUUUCAUUUCUGUGGGUUUUUUUAAAUUGUUGGCACCACUAUUGUUAGUGAUACAGAGUCUCAGUAAGGCAGCUGAAGCAGCCCCUUUGCCAUGGAGGUGGAGAGAGCCUGCAGAAGCCACAGACAGAAACCCAGGGUCCAGCCCCAGAGCAGGUGGUGCAGAGCUGCUGCACAUAGGCUCCUGUCACGAGGCACACAGCAGCUUUGGGAGCUUCUAACACCUGGCUUUGCACAGUCCCUUUGCUAAGCCGUGAUUUGCUGUUUCUUGUUUCUGUGUCCAUACACAGAUUGUAUUUGUCCUGGCCAACAUAUGUGUGGAGCAGAGCCUCCUGCCCAGUGGCAUGGGCUGUUACAAAAGCAGUGUGCAUCAAUCACACUGUGCAUGCCUAUUUGGGAUGCACACAAAUUCAACAUUGUUUCUGUUUUUUGCAUAAGAAGGCAAUUCAGAGGGGACUCUGUUUACAAGACGCUGAUUGGCUUUACUUUACAUGCCAAAGAAGCACCAAGAAAUUGUAUAAAUGUAGCAUGUGAAGAGCUUUGAAUCUUAUAUUUAAAGAUAAUUUGUGUUGACUACACUUGGCACUAAGGAGGAGGCAUGGCAAAGAAAUGUACAGAGUAUACCGAGAGCUUUUGUCAUAUUUCCAAGGGGAAAGUGAAAGCACAGCAUGACUUGCAUUGCCAAGCUUAAGAUUGCCACCUAGUUUUCAUGAGAUUGCUCUAGGCUUGAUAAAUCCCAUUUUAAAAUUGGCAUUUCUAGAAUAAAUAGUGCUUCACAUUUUAUUCCUAGGAUCAUUGUCAUUAUCUCUGAUUUCUUUUAUUUGACAAAGUGUCAGUUUUAUAUCAUGAAGAUACAGCAACAAAUUUUUGGAUUGAAACAUAAUGAUAGUGCAAUUUUGAGUAGGACUCCCUUGAUGGUUGGACCAGAUGAUGUUAGAGAUCUUUUCCAGCCUUAACGAUUCUACGAUUCCUUAACUUAACCUCAGAAAUCCAAAAAUUGGAUGUCUAGUCUUGGUCUGGGCUCUAUUUGUAGGCAGCGAAGGGAAACGUGCUUCUAGAAAAUGAUUCAUCCUGUCCAAAAUUAGAUGUCUGAGACUGACUGGAUUGUUUUCCCACCAGAGGUAUUUUUCUGUAUCCACAGACUAGAGGGGAAACCUAUAUAAAUAAUUUGGACAGGUUACCUGUCUUUAGGUGGCUACAUAUCUGUGAGAAACAUGUUGAACAUUUGGUUACUUCGUUGUAGCUUCUUCAGUGCUAUGGACCAACCUAAACUUACAAUAAGGUUGUAGUAUAAUUGACAACAAUAGAUGAAGUAAUUUAUUUCUCCAGGGGAAGAAGAAAUACAAAAGGAUGUGGUAUCUGUAUGCACUACAGCAUAGUUUCUCUCUACUGACAAAUGUGAGUGUGUUUGACGAAAAUAAAACUGAACCAUAUUGAAAGGUGAGAUGGGCCCCAUAAGUGAAAGUAAAAAGGCAAGAAGCCUCAAAAAAUCAUGUAUUAUAAGUUACAGAACUGAGACUAUGUGGAGACAACUGCAUUGUAAGCUGUCAAAAUAAACAAGUUGUAAAGCUAAAGAUAAAACCUAGUUGUGCAGCAUUCACAUCCCUAUUCCCCAGUCAGUACAAAUAGAUGCAGUUUAACCAAUGGAUCUGUGCCCAUUCACUUCUAUCUACAGCGUGGCAUCCAUCUGUGUGCCCUAACCCUCUCUUCCAUGUUCAGAUAGUAUGUGGGCCUCCACGUAAUCCCUCUGAUAAUACCAGAACGGAGUACGUAACAGAGAAAUGGAUAGUAAGGAAAUAAAGCAUGCAUGUCGGAAUCCCUUAAAGUGUAAUGUUCAUCAUCCUUCCUGAAUGAACAUGUGAAAGAAAAACAACAUUUUAUAAAGUACGUUUUCAUCAGCUGUGUGAGGCAACAGUGGCUUUUGCUGGAGUGAAGCAGCACUCAGGAGAUACUCAACCCCACAGUCUUAGGUCACACUGGCAGAACU